rnacentral:misc_RNA from 1 species
AAUCGGAUCUAUGCGGAAGGUUUCUUGUCUAGCUGUACUGCCAAAAUAUUAUCAAUGCUUCAAACAAGCACAAACUGUUGAAUUGUGUCAACUGUGACCAUAGACUUAUAAAGAGUCUAUGACUGUGACCACGGUCGACUGUGACGAAUGACGGCUGUGAUGUGACGUGCACGUCAGUUUUAGUUUGGAAUUUUUCUGGCUGAUCAUUAGGGCGAUCAAUUAAUUGAGGGGAAAUAUUGAUUAUAAUGAUAAAGCCUCACUAUACGAAGGAUCAUUCUUCAGGAUUUUGCAUAUAGCGCGGUAAACUCAUCACGUUUAGUACCUGCUACGCACUUUAGUCUACGGAGUAUACAUAACUUCAUCAUGGAACCUAAACCAGUUGGCGAGGCUGAAUUGAAAGAACUGAAGGACCGCAUGAAUCUUAUUGUCAGUGCAGAUCCAUUGCAGUACCACAAUGAGUUUUCGUUAAAAAGAUACCUACGCGCCUUUAAAACUGUUGAUGCUGCUUUUCAGGCAAUUCUGAAAACGAAUUCGUGGCGUGUUGAUUAUGGUGUGACUACCCUGACUCGAGACUCGCCAGUGGUUAAGAAUAAUCUGAACAAAGCAAAAGUUCUCCGACAUCGCGAUAUGCAUGGUCGACCAGUAAUAUACAUACCUGCCAAAAAUCAUAAUCCAAACGAGCGAGACAUUGAUGAAUUGACCAAGUUCAUCGUAUACUGUUUGGAGGAUGCCUGCAAAAAGUGUUUCGAAGAAGUAAUCGAUAAUUUAUGCAUUGUUUUUGACCUCAAAGACUUUGGAAUAAAUUGUAUGGAUAAUCAACUUAUAAAGAACUUAAUCUGGCUACUCUCCCGCCAUUAUCCAGAGCGCCUUGGCGUCUGUUUGAUCCUGAAUGCCCCGACACUGUUCUCCACAUGCUGGGCUGUAAUAAGAGGGUGGUUGGACGAAAAUACGUCGAGCAAAGUUUUUUUUGUCAAUACGGACAUAGAGUUGUGCUCGUAUUUGAUCCCUGACAUUUUACCAACCGACAUGUAAUAUAUAGGCGCAGCUCAAUUAUGAUCAAAAAUAAAAAUAUACCAGACAAUUGAAAAGAACAACUUAUCUGCCGAAUAAAUUCGUCAAGAUAGAGCAGCUUGUCUGGAUGGUUCAAGAAAUGAUGCCAUACCAUUCUAAUCCAGGAAAGAGUCAACACAUAGCGUUAAAAAACUGACAAGUCCACCCAGUGGUUGCGUAUUAAACGUAUUAAACCUCGUCAAAUAAUUAUAAGUAUAUUUCAUUUGCAUUACUAUGAUGCACGGAUCAACAUUCUUAUGAUUGUAAGGCUUAGUCAGAAAAGAAAUUAUGAAUCAUAACUGCUACCCAUCAUACUGUUCAAGUAUCAGUUUCUUCUAAUACCCUAUUUAAAUGACAUUAUGAGGUAGUCGUAAGUGAAAUAUAUACAAUGCUGUUACAUUUUUUGGAAUUUUAUUUGUUUUAAAUUAUUGCUAUAGUUUACUUGAAUGGUAUAUGUUAUUGGCUGGUGGAAAGCAUAGUUUGUGACAAUUUUAAAUUCAAGAAAUCAGUUAAUCAUUGUGAUUAAUUGUUAUGAUGAGUUGAUACGGUAAUGCAUAGCAAUCAAUACGAACUGCACAAUACUGUAUUGCAGUCUUCUGUGUAAACACGUCGUAUUGUAUUCUGUACAGUCUUGCUUUGAAUCAGUCAAUCAAAACACAGAAAGUAAUGCAUACCGUGUGAUACAUAUGAUUUAGAUUAGCGCAAAUGAAAACAUGCAGGGACAAUAAAAUAUACUGUUUAACAUUUCACAAUAGAAAUAUCAACCUUAUCACUAACGUGUAAAACUAAAAUCUAAUGGUUAACCGUUAGAUUUUCCGUUCUCGUUAAGUAGCGAUAAAUAACGAUGUUCAAAACUAUUAUUUCUAUUGUCCUGUACUAAUUAUUAUUCAAAUGUACACUCCAGCGGAUUGGUGUUAAUUAAAAAAUGACAUAAUCAAAACAUAAACCUUUGGAAUGAACUGUUCAUGUCAGACCGAUUCUUCACCCAUUGCCUCCAAUGAAAUUACGUAUGCUAGCUCACGAUCAUACCUCGCUAAAUAUGAACAUACAUGUGACCAAUGAAUAAUGUAUUUUUCAAUAAAUCAUUCUGCAGUGCCAUAUCUUUUA